rnacentral:rRNA from 1 species
AGAUUGAACGCUGGCGGAAUGCUUUACACAUGCAAGUCGAGCGGCAGCGCGGGGCAACCUGGCGGCGAGCGGCGAACGGGUGAGUAAUGCAUCGGAACAUGUCCAUUCGUGGGGGAUAGCCCGGCGAAAGCCGGAUUAAUACCGCAUAAGCCCUUUGGGGGGAAAGCCGGGGGACCGUAAGGCCUGGCGCGAAUGGGUUGGCCGAUGCCCGAUUAGCUAGUUGGUGAGGUAAAGGCUUACCAAGGCGAUGAUCGGUAGCUGGUCUGAGAGGAUGAUCAGCCACACUGGGACUGAGACACGGCCCAGACUCCUACGGGAGGCAGCAGUGGGGAAUUUUGGACAAUGGGGGAAACCCUGAUCCAGCCAUUCCGCGUGAGUGAAGAAGGCCUUCGGGUUGUAAGCUCUUUGUCCGGAGCGAACGGUUACGGUGAAUAUCCGUGACUACUGACGGUACCGGAAGAAUAAGCACCGGCUAACUACGCGCCAGCAGCCGCGGU